ACGUUCAGGUAAUCGCUGCAUCUUUGAUGUAGAGGAAAGUCCAUGCUCGCACGAUCUGAGACGAUCGUAGUGUUCGUGCCUAGCUAAUUCAUAAGCUAGGGCAAUCUGGUAGUAACUGGAUUGACGGCGGGAGAAACCACCUAAGGCUAAAAGCUAUGGUCGAGUAUCCCUGAAAGUGCCACAGUGACGAAGCUCUUUUGGAAACAGAAGAGGUGGAACGCGGUAAACCCCACGAGCGAGAAACCCAAAUUUGGUAGGGGAAUGAUCUCGAAGGAAUCAAACGGAGAGAUUGACAGGUAGUACAAAGCUAUCUGUAGAUAGAUGAUUACCACCGGAGUACGAGGAUGAAACCGCUUGCAGUACAAAGGUACAAAACAUGGCUUAUCGAA
rnacentral:RNase_P_RNA from 1 species